CACGGUACGCGCGGACCAGGUGGUUCUCGCACGGCUCGGGCAUUUUUCUGUUCCACCCUGAGCCGUGCCCGUGACCCGGUCUCCCUCACGGCCACCUGCCCCGGCCCUCCAUAAUUGCAUCCCCCACCCAUGCUCCCCCUCGCAACCAACACGGCCCAAUCUAGCAUCGUACUCAGCCGCUGCAACUGCACGAGAGCCAUGCCCGUGUCAGCUUCCUCCUCUGAUGGCGUACCCUUGCUGCGACGCGGAGCUAGUCACCGCCAUAGCUGGAGGGUCAGAAACCUAGAUCCAGGUUCUACAAGUGCAUCCUAUACGACGUGAGCAUCAUCCCUUGUGUACUUUUGCGUGUUUUAUUUAUAUCCUGCUUUUCGUUGACCCUGAUCCGUUUACUCCGAAUCAGAUCGGUCGUGUUGUGGCGUUCGCAGGCAUCAAUGAAGCAUAUCAGCAGGCUACCCAGUCUUAACCUGCAAAAAUACUAAGUUCCUGCUAAUAGCAUUGGACAUGCAGUUCGAUCUGGCAGACAAAUGUUAAUUUCUUUUGUUCUCUGUUAUUCGCCUGCCUUAACAUAGGAUUUAUCUGAAUAUAAGUUAACUGAGCGGCUACGCCAUCUAGCUAACUGAACCAUGCUGAAUACAACUACCUGCUGCUACCAUUUUCAACUGUAGAACCACAUUUGCGCACCACAAACUGAUUCCUCGAACAGAUCAGUUAUCUCCAGAUGCGCACAAAAAUAAACUUACGAUCU
rnacentral:lncRNA from 1 species